AAAGCACCUAUCUGGUAGUUUUUGAGAAUCAAAGAUGAAGUCUUAUAAAUACGAAUAGGUCUUCAAAGGGGUGAGAAGAUAGAAGGAAAUUUUGAAUAGUGAGGGUUAGAUUCUUUGUUCUGUUGCAUGCUUAUAAUAUUGGUAAAAGCCAUUAUACAUUCAGGAGGACCAUGGAUUUAAAUUGCAGUUGCAGCCAUGGCUGCAUUUGCAGUCGCAAAUGAUUU
rnacentral:misc_RNA from 1 species